AUUGAACGCUGGCGGCAUGCUUUACACAUGCAAGUCGAACGGUAACAGGCCUUCGGGUGCUGACGAGUGGCGAACGGGUGAGUAAUGCAUCGGAACGUGCCCAGAGGUGGGGGAUAACGCAGCGAAAGCUGUGCUAAUACCGCAUGUGAUCUGAGGAUGAAAGCGGGGGACCAGGCAGCAAUGUUUGGCCUCGCGCCUUUGGAGCGGCCGAUGUCAGAUUAGGUAGUUGGUGGGGUAAAGGCCUACCAAGCCGACGAUCUGUAGCUGGUCUGAGAGGACGACCAGCCACACUGGGACUGAGACACGGCCCAGACUCCUACGGGAGGCAGCAGUGGGGAAUUUUGGACAAUGGGCGCAAGCCUGAUCCAGCAAUGCCGCGUGCGGGAAGAAGGCCUUCGGGUUGUAAACCGCUUUUGUACGGAACGAAAAGGCUCUGGCUAAUACCUGGGGCUGAUGACGGUACCGUAAGAAUAAGCACUGGCUAACUACGUG
rnacentral:rRNA from 1 species